rnacentral:rRNA from 1 species
UGCCAGCCGCCGCGGUAAUACGGAGGAUCCAAGCGUUAUCCGGAAUCAUUGGGUUUAAAGGGUCCGUAGGUGGACAAAUAAGUCAGAGGUGAAAUCCUGCAGCUCAACUGUAGAACUGCCUUUGAUACUGUUUGUCUUGAGUUAUUAUGAAGUGGUUAGAAUGUGUAGUGUAGCGGUGAAAUGCGUAGAUAUUAGAAAGAACACCGGUGGCGAAAGCGCUCUACUGGACCAUUACUGACACUCAGAGGCGAAAGCUAGGGUAGCAAAAGGGAUUAGAUA